AUUGAACGCUGGCGGCAUGCCUUACACAUGCAAGUCGAACGGUAACGGGCCUUCGGGUGCCGACGAGUGGCGAACGGGUGAGUAAUGUAUCGGGACGUACCUUUCAGUGGGGGAUAACGUAGGGAAAGUUACGCUAAUACCGCAUAUUCUGUGAGGAGGAAAGCACGGGAUCGCAAGACGUUGCGCUGAGUGAGCGGCCGAUAUCAGAUUAGCUAGUUGGUGAGGUAAAGGCUCACCAAGGCGACGAUCUGUAGCGGGUCUGAGAGGAUGAUCCGCCACACUGGAACUGAGACACGGUCCAGACUCCUACGGGAGGCAGCAGUGGGGAAUUUUGGACAAUGGGGGCAACCCUGAUCCAGCCAUGCCGCGUGAGUGAAGAAGGCCUUCGGGUUGUAAAGCUCUUUCGGCCGGGAAGAAAUCGUAUCAGCUAAUACCUGGUGCGGAUGACGGUACCGGCAUAAGAAGCACCGGCUAACUACGUGCCAGCCGCCGCUGUAACAC
rnacentral:rRNA from 1 species